AUUUAAUAAUAAUAUUGUAUUUAUGUUUAUAUUUUUAAUCGGAUUGUUAUUUAUGUGGUGUAUGGAUUGAACUAACUAAUCCAAUGACGGAGGUUUGACACGACCAUAAACACGAAUUGUGACCCCUUCCUACAUGGCGGCCGGAUCCCUCAGAAACGGGUGGGUGAUUUAAGUUCUAUUGUUUAUAAAUUAUAAUGAUCGUAAAGGAAGGAAUUGGGAAUCUAUAUAAGAUGAGUUGACAGCAAGCCUGGGAAGAAGCGGAUACCCAAAAAUAGUCAUCAUGGCAGCAGCAGCAGCUGGGCGGUUCAUGGAUCUAGAUUUAAGGAAGGGCCACCUCGGAAGCUCACCGCACCCUACCAGCCACUCGCUUCAUGUAUUCCAUCAAGUUGUGAAACGGGCGCAGAGGUAUGAGUCGUGUUCACUGUCGAUGAAUGGUUGCCAAGGAGACCCCAAAAUUCCCAUUGGAACCAUCCAGACUCGGACGUUUCCAGGCGUUUCAACGCACUCACUCGCCCUCGACACCCUCAGCUCCGCCAUCUCCCACUUGAAAUCCGACCCACCUCCCUUCACCUCCGGGAUUCUACGUCUCCAGGUCCCAAUUCAACAGAAAAUUGAAGCAAUUGAUUGGCUCCACGCUCAACAAGAGCUUCUUCCCCGCUGUUUCUUCUCCAGUAGAAGCCAAAGUAGCAGUUUUGAUCCAUUCAUAGACUCCGUCAACGGAGAUGGCAACGGUUUAGAGGACCACGAUUUGGUUAGGGUCGCCGGCAUCGGCGCUGCAGUGUUCUUCCGACAUAUUCAUCCAUUCUCAUUGGACGAUUGGAAGUCCAUAAAGAGGUUUCUUUCCAAGAAAUGCCCUUUAAUUCGUGCAUACGGGGCUAUUCGGUUUGAUCCAAGAGCUAAUGUAUCAUCUGAAUGGAGGGCUUUUGGUUCAUUCUACUUUGUGGUUCCUCAGGUGGAGUUUAAUGAGCUUGAAGGAAGUUCAGUUCUUGCUACAACUAUUGCAUGGGAUAAUGCCCUUUCAUGGACAUGGGAAAAGGCAAUUGGUGCACUUCAAGCUACAAUGUGCCAGGUUUCUUCUAUUGUUGGGAAGUUGAGGAAAGAAGUUUGUAAAACAUUUGUCCUCAGCAAUAGUCAUGUUCCUAGUAAGGCAUCUUGGAAUCUUGCUGUUAAUAGAGCUUUGCAGAUAAUUGGCAGAGCUGACUCACCCCUCAUUAAGGUGGUACUUGCACGUAGCAGCAGGGUUGUGACUACUUCUCAUAUUGACCCUAUAGCAUGGUUGGCUUGUUUACAGGUUGAGGGACAAAAUGCUUACCAGUUCUUUCUUCAGCCACCUGAUGCACCAGCAUUUAUUGGGAACACUCCAGAGCAACUAUUUCACCGAAAACGGCUUUGCAUCCACAGUGAGGCUUUGGCUGGAACCCGUGCUAGAGGUGGAUCAAAGGCUCAGGAUCUUCAAAUAGAACUUGAUUUACUUUCAAGUCCCAAGGAAGACUUUGAGUUUUCUAUUGUACGAGAGAGCAUACAAAGAAAGCUGGAGGCCAUAUGCAGCACGGUGUGGGUUGAACCAAAGAAAGCAAUUCGAAAACUCCCCAGAAUUCAACAUCUAUAUGCCCAAUUGUCAGGACGAUUGAGAAGUGAAGAUGAUGAGUUUGACAUCUUGUCUUCUCUUCACCCAACUCCAGCAGUUUGUGGGUUUCCUAGAGAAGAAGCACGGCUUUUAAUCGCUGAAACUGAAAUGUUUGACCGAGGAAUGUUUGCCGGUCCAGUUGGAUGGUUUGGUGGAGGAGAGACUGAGUUUGCAGUUGGGAUCAGGUCAGCCUUAGUGGAGAAGGGUCUUGGUGGAUUAAUCUAUGCUGGAACUGGGAUAGUUAGAGGAAGCAAUUCAUCUUUAGAGUGGGAGGAGCUGGAGCUCAAGAUAUCUCAGUUCACCAAACCAAUAAAAGUUGAGGUGCCUCUCUCCUGAUACAAGGACGUGAUAACACAGGCAGAAUCACCUAAAAGGAAUCUAAAAAGAGGGCCAGUGUUGGAUUGACAUUACUCAAUUAAUCGAUCUGAGUAUUUGCCCUAGUAUUAACUUGCAGAAGUCAGAUGUCACCACCUAGCAAAGCAGGGGCUAUCUGGCGAGAUGAAUUUGUUUGGGACUAUUUCUUGUACUGCCGGGGAGUUGGAUGAAAAUAAAUUUUCUGUAUUUAAUACACUCCACUUUGCUCAACUUGUUAUAUCAUCCUUGGUAUUUCCUCAGAACAGGUCUUCCUUUGUAUCAUUCUAGACUCUCAAUUGGCAAUAUAAAUCUGAUUGUUGACUGAUCCUAUGUGCUUUACUGAUGUUGUCCAUGAGAUAUUUGAUCCCUCAACAUUAUUCUUCAAUUAUUCUAUAUUCACAAAUGGAAUGAAAAUACAGUAUAUCAAUUUACAGGCAGUAUAUAUCAACAGGGAAAGUUGAACAAAUGAUCAACUGAUUCAUUUGUACCUUUCUGGAAAUUCCUGUGCUUCUUCCUGGUGUCAUCCUUAUGCCAGUCUUUUUCCCUCAUCUCUCACUCAAAAACAAAAGAAAAGCAGCAGCAGCGACUAUACAUUGGUUUUUGCUCUGCAUUUUCUACUCUAGUUUCUCUUUAUGGGUAUAUAUACUAACAUGGCAUCCCUUCUCUGCAGCUAAGAGCACCCGAAAAGCGUGUUAGCCUGGUGACAAAUGCCCCAGGUUUUGCCCUGAUCACAUAUUUGUUUGAGAAAUCAAAAUUAGGGUCUCCAGAUUCAACGAAGAAGGCCCCAUUCAUCAUCAGAUCCCCCUGUGAUCUCCACGUCCAACUCUUCCACACACUCUCAGUUAAUGUCAGGAGGAGCGAUGAAUCGGUUACCCUGGCUGAGUAUGGUAGGAUGGUGGCUACCCCCUAUGGCGUACAUCAGCCAAUGUGUGUAGUCAUUGUUGACAACAUGGAAGAAUCCCCACCGGCAUCUUGGCAUCCUUUGUGUCAACCCCUGGCCGAAGUGGUUGAAAGUAAUUGUUAUUUGCAUGAUUGCAUCACCGGAGUAACCGUCGCUUGCACCAAACAACAUGACCUGUACAAUCAACAUGUUAGUUGAUAUUUCAUAGUCAUUGAAAAUUAGGAUUCAUUAAUUAAUAAUACUACCUCAUUAUGGUGAGUGAAAUGGCAGUUGGAGAUGGUAAUAGCAGUUGAUGCCAUGAUGGCAUCUAUUAGUCCAUCAGCACAAUUCGACAUGGAAAUAUGAUCAAUCCAAAUAUUUGUGGCCCCGAAAAUCGAUAUACCAUCCCCAUCGCUUCUUGUGCGGAAGCCAUAGUGGCUGGCCGAGUCCCGGAUCAGGCCACCAUUGCCGACCUUAAUAUCAUGAAUGUGGAGGCCAUGGAUGAUGAUAUUAUGCACAAACUGCAGAGUCAAGCCAGCACCAUUGGCAAUGUGCACAUUGGCUCCACGGGCAUCAAUGGUUUUAUUACUGGUCAUGAUCAGCUCCUCAUUUAGCCUGAUUGCCAUGCUAUGGGCAAAUAUGAUCCAAAGUGGCUCCUCCUGGAUCGCGGCAUGACGUAAAGUCCCGGGCUUGGGGUUCACCAUGUCAUUGUCAGACGGAUCCGUCACCACAUAAAUUUUGCCACCUUUGCCUCCAGUUGUCUUCUGCCCAAACCCAAGCACACAAUCAGCUAGUUUCAUGCGGUUGCUAGCCCAGUCACUUCGGCAUCUCCAGCACCUGUCGAUUGGGUUGGUAGCCAUGCAUAGUCCUGAAAAUUUACUCAAAUUCCUCCUUGUGUGGUUUGUACUAUCAAAGCUCCUGUCCCAUAAAAUGUUACGUUUUUGUACCAAGUCACAGCCCCAUUGUGAUCAAAUAUUGGUUAAUAAUGCUCAAAACCUGAAAUAUGCAUAUGAUGUAAUUGAGUUAAUGCUUUAGCAAAUGGACUUACUUGUGGA